AGUCACGAGUUUGAUCAUGGCUCAGGAUGAACGCUAGCGGCAGGCCUAAUACAUGCAAGUCAAGGGGCGUCUUUCGGGGAGCACCGGCGGACGGGGUGCGUAACGCGUACACAACGUACCUCAGAGGCGGGGGAUAGCAUACGGGAAACUGGUGGUAAUACCCCAUGGUGUUGAGAGAUGGCAUCUAUUUUCAACUAAAGGUUACACUCUGAGAUCGGUGUGCGUCUGAUUAGCUAGUUGGCGGGGUAACGGCCCACCAAGGCGACGAUCAGUAGGGGGUGUGAGAGCAUGACCCCCCACAUGGGUACUGAGACACGGACCCAACUCCUACGGGAGGCAGCAGUAAGGAAUAUUGGACAAUGGGCGCAAGCCUGAUCCAGCCAUGCCGCGUGAAGGAUGAAGGCGCUCAGCGUUGUAAACUUCUUUUGGACGGGAACAAUACCCCUGAUGCGUCAGGGCUUGAGGGUACCGUCAGAAUAAGCACCGGCUAACUCCGUG
rnacentral:rRNA from 1 species